UUUCAAUAUCUAAACUUUUUAACAUGAGAAAGAUGGCUGUAUCUUAGAGAUUACCAAAAAGACUUGUUUUCAUCAGGUAAUUAAAAGUAAUAGAGAUGACAAUGUGGUUUUUUUUAAGUCCUCCAAAACUAAGGUGCUCCUACCCACAGAUGGCAUAUCUUGCAAAGGGCUAAGAACUGUUUUGGGUUCCUUCUCUCUGUGUUACUUUGAUGUUAUAAAUAGUGCUGAAUUUGUCUAAACAGAAUUGAGAGGUCAUAGAAAUCCUUAACAGGGUAACAAUUCCAAGGUUUCCGAACCUGGGUGUUAGUGUGGACUCGUUCAUCAGACUUUGAACAGAACAUUUUGCCACCUUUGCUACUCAAAACCAAUUUUAUGUUGCCAACACAGGGCAGUGUUGAAGCAAGUAAAAAAAAAAAAAAAAAAAAAAACCAUAAUUUCGCGUAUCUUCAGAAAUCAGAAAUAGCAUUAUAACUGAUGUAAUCCCAGACUUUACUGCAAUUUACUAAUUAAAACAAUGGUCCUGUGUGGGUAGGUGACAAUUUUUGAUAAAACAGGUAUUACUAUUUUUGUUAUACAUGAAAAUGGCUUUCUUUUUUUAAAAAAUCCCUUUCAAAUUAAAAAUACCUUUUGGAGUAUUAGUUACUUUACAUUAUCUGUAAUAUGUAACCUCUCUCCAAGUUUACCCAAAGGGAAUGCAAAAUCUGAAUAUCCCACCAUCUUUUAAGAUGGUCCUUUAGUCCAAUGAAAACAUGCUACAUCUUUAAAACUCCAGCCAUAAAAAUUACAAGUGCUCAGUGCCCUUAGGAGGUCUGUAUGUAAAAGAAACCCAAAAUCUAGGUGAAUUUAAUGAAAUAACAUACUUCAUACAUAUACAAUGUAGGGAGGUGGGCAGGGGCUCUAUUGGAUUUUCUCUGAAGUAAACCAUUUUAGAGAGCUAUCUGCUGUUAUCCCCAGUGCCUUGAACUCUUUAGAGGAAUAGCAUUUAAAAACAACAAAAAACCACAAGUAAACUUUUGAGGUGCUAAUGAAAGAGAAGGAAGGUAAGUACUUUUGAAGUUUGGGCAGAAAUGGGAAGGGGGUGACUCUUAAAAGAGUUUUUCAUCCAUCUACAUGGAAUCUGGCUGUUUCCUCUCAAAGAUGUUUAGAAAAGUGGUUCAAGUCAAUACUGAGCCAUACUUAAGAUCUGGCCAAACUGGGAGCAUGUUGUUCAUGAGCUGUGAAUUUCAAGAAUCAGCUUAGAAAGACAUGGUUGCAGCAGUAGGGGAGACAUUUUUUUUUAAACUAUCCAUUAAAUUUGUUACAACUUAAUACCAAAACCUGACGUUUUUUCAUAAUUCCACCUCCUAGUUCUUCCUGUAUUUGUAAAUAGUCCCUCCUAGAAAAUAAGCAUCAACUGGAAUGUGUCAAAUGACUUUGCUUAGUUUUACUAUCAGCCACUAGUGAACUCUUCUUCCUGAGAUGCAUAAGGUAAAAUAGGAUUAGCUUGUGCUAAGUGUUGUAAAAAUACUGUUUACUGUUUUCAAAGAGAAUUGCACAGUAUCUUUAACUGGGGUUGUCCUCUUCUGUUUCUUUUUAAAAAAAAAAUGGAGUCAAGGCUCACUCUGACUUCUAGCUGUGGGAAUUCUGUCAUAGAUAUAAUGUAGAAAUAUACUUUUUUAAAGCAUGAAGAAAACAAAAAUGUACCUGAAAGAGGACAUUAUUCAGAGGAUUAUGCACAGCUCGAUAAGGAUGAAGUUGUGGUUUUCUUUCAGCCUUGUUGCUAUUAUUUUCUUCUGCAUAAAUGUACACUCAUUUCAUUAUGUGCCUUGCUCCCUGAUUGUGCAAAGCUAUAUAUAUACACACAAAUAUAUAUAUAUAUAUGAGAGAGAGAUAUAUUCAUUCAGUACUACUGAUGUUUUUGUUCUACUGCUGGAUUAAGUUAUUGUCUGAGUUACACUUGCCACUUGUCAUAAACUAUUGUAAUGGCUUAGGACAGUGGUCAUAUAGCCAGAGUAAAUUUGUUUUUCCAGUUUC
rnacentral:lncRNA from 1 species